rnacentral:rRNA from 1 species
GAUGAACGCUAGCGGCAGGCUUAAUACAUGCAAGUCGUGGGGCAGCAUGAGUAGCAAUACUUGAUGGCGACCGGCAAACGGGUGAGGAACACGUACACAACCUUCCUUCAAGCGGGGAAUAGCCCAGAGAAAUUUGGAUUAAUACCCCAUAAUAUAUUUGAUAAGGCAUCUUAUUAAAUAUUAAAGCUUCGGCACUUGAUGAUGGGUGUGCGGCUGAUUAGAUAGUUGGCGGGUAACGGCCCACCAAGUCUACGAUCAGUAGCUGAUGUGAGAGCAUGAUCAGCCACACGGGCACUGAGACACGGGCCCGACUCCUACGGGAGGCAGCAGUAAGGAAUAAUUGGACAAUGGACGAAAGUCUGAUCCAGCCAUGCCGCGUGAAGGAUUAAGGUCCUCUGGAUUGUAAACUUCUUUUAUAUGGGACGAAAAAAAGGGCAAUUCUUGUUCACUUGACGGUACCAUAUGAAUAAG